ensembl:lncRNA
GGUGCUAAGGGGGAUCGGACUGGGGGCUCCUAGGCAGGGCACCUCGGUCCCUUAUCCUCUGCAAUCUCCGAAGCGGGGAGCAUCCGGGGUCCGAGCCGGUCCCGGGCCCGCUGAGCAGCUUGAGCCGAGCGCGGCCUCCGGCAUCCCCCCCGGGGGCCCCUCCGGGCUGGGCCCGGCGCGCCGCGCUGCUCCCGGACGCUCCAGGCUCCUGGGCCGGUGCAGCCAGCGUCUCCUCCCCUCGCUCCGAGCGGCCAGCGGCGGAUGUGACAGCAGCGCAGCCCGCACUGGAAGUGACGCCUCCUCCCGAGUCCUGCUCGCUGCAAAGCCCCCGGGGAAGGAGGAGCGGGAGCCUGGUGCACAGGGAAGGGGGCUGCGCGCUCCCCGGGCUGCUGCAACGACACCCCAGCUGCCCCCAUGCUGCGGCUGCGUACGAGGUUGGGUCUUCAUGUACAGGAACAUGGGUGACAGAGGCUGCAGUUUCCCUCAAGCGGCAUUAAAAACUCCUCGGAUCUCGGAUUAGCAAGAAGAGGCCACUCCAGCCACGUGGUGAGCCGGGAGGGUUCAGGUGGUGACAAUAAGGUGACGCAGGGCGCUACACAGCCAGUCUAAGCGAGGCAGAUGUGUCACAGCAGACGGGACCCGUAGCCCCAGCUGACCCAGAGAGGAUUAACUGGCCUGGCAAACCCAGUCUGGAAACCGGCACACCUAGAUGGAGCAUGGAGCCAGCCAGACUUUGACAAUAGACUGGGAUCUCCUGGCCUGGGGAAACACCCUCAGCAAACAGCAGAGGAACAUUGGAUCAAUACAGACAAGGUGUCACCUGUCCUUGGAGUCUCUCAGCCAAAAGUGCUUGGUAAACAUGUUAAUGGAGUCUCACAACAUCCCCUUGGGAAGUGAGCAGCACCGUACAGGAUCGGGCCCGUGGAGCCAGCCGGUUCCGUCACAUUUGUUCCCUUCCACCCAGGGCAACUUUGGAGCACGGCAGAGGCACCUCAACGUGGUGCACCUCACAGGCACCUCAGCGUGCUCUCCCCCACCCAAGCCAGAUGGGAGGCUGGGAAUUCCUAUCACAGGCUGGUGGGUGAAGACAGGCUGAGAACCGGCCUCUGGUUCCCUCUUACUUGGCUGGCAGAGUGCACCCCCUCUUGGCAGAGCCAUGACUCAGAGUGGAGGGUAAGGCCAUGCUAGUCAGAGCAGGUUCUGCCCCUUCUCCAGCCACAGUGCUACAAGGCCUUGCACCCCCUUACUGCUGCAAACUGUACCAAGCAGGGUCGGUGGGGAGAGGGAAUAGCUAGGUCCCGUCUCCCUCUCCCUUAUUGUUCCCCAGUGGCACAGCCCUUGCCGACACCCCAGCUGGCACCUCCCAGACACGUUCCUGCUCAGGCCCGGAGGUUGGCUGCCAGGAGAGCAGAAGGCAGAGCCCUCAGAGGAGGAGAGCUUUGCACCAGCAAAGGGUGUGAGCAAGUGGUGAGUAUGACACACCAGGCUGGAGGGGCUUCUGAGUCUAGUCUCUCUGCAGGCUGGGAUCCCUCGCCUGCCCUGGAACGAGGACACAGCCCCGUCCCACAGGAGGGAAGGAGCUCGAAGGUGUAAAACAGCACCUGUGCUGAUGGGGUUCGGGGAAUGACGAUGGCCCUUGGCCCUUCUCCAGCACCAUCCUUCCACGGCUCUCAGAGCGUCGCACCAACAAGAAUGAAUCAGCCCCAGGGCUGGGUCAUAGCGAUGGCCCCAUUCGACAUGGGGCCACCUGAGCCCAGAGAGGGGAUGUGACUUACAUGAGGUCACCUCACGAGUCAGUAGCGGAGCCAGGAACAGAACCCAGCAGUCCGGACGCCCGUGGCUUAAAAUGGUCCAAAAAAAGUCGGGGGGGGGGGGNGGAAGAAUCAUUGUCUACGGGAAGGGAAGUGACAUUGCGUCUGCCUACCCCGCAUCAGUUCUGUGCCCCUCGCACCUCAGCUCCUCGGGCAGCUGCUGAGAUUCCUUGCCCCAGCCCUUCCCAGGUGAGUGCUGCAGGGAGAGGAGCCACCCGAUCCCCAUUGCUCCCAGGAAGGGAGCGGGGAGCCAACUCACCCUGCGCUGAUGGGCUCUUUACCUCCCUCCUCUCCUGUGAGAACAGUGGGGGCUCGUGAUCGCCCCGCCUGCUUCUGAUUGGCUGCUCUACCCCAGGGGGUGGGGCAGUCGGGAAGGCAGCCAAUCAGAGGGGGUUUUCCCGCAGGCCCGGCUGACGCGUGCACCCCUCAGUGACUCAGCUCCAGUUGUAGAAAUGUUAUUUCCCAUGGUCCUUGUGAGCUGGUGCCCUCGAAGCCCUGCCAGUGCCCCCGUCCUGUACGAGCCACAUGACUGCCCCCCCUGCCGUAACCAAAGCACCCUAACACACCCAGUCGAGGCUGCAGGGCCCCCUCAGCCCUUGGGCUCCAAAGGAAGAGCUGACACGUCUAAGUGCCGUUAUUUGCAGUUAUUGGGCAUCUCUGACUUAAGCUAUUUACCUGGGCCAGGCUUUUCAAAGAGGAGGCUCUAAGUGAUGCCACAGGAGCUGCCGGCUCACCCAAAAUCCUGGCCCCAAAGGUGGGCGCUGAGCCCUUGGAAAGCUGGCCCUGGGCUCUGCCACGAAGACAAGACACCCAGCCUGUGUCAGACGACCCAGUCCUAAUCCGUCUGCCAAGCUCCCAGCAUCACAGAUAGCAGGAGAUCCCUUCCAGCUGGAGCUCAAGGGAAAGGUGACUUCUCCUGACCCCCAGCUCUGAUCCCAGCCCCAUAGGGCGGCAGCUGGCUGGACCUGCCGCAAAGCAGUGAGGAAUUGGCCUGGAGAGUGUGCUGAGCCCAAUCUAGCUCCAUGCACUUUCUGGGCUAAGAAAGAGCACAAUAAUAACAAGGCCUAACUGAUAAAUAGCGCUUUUAAGCCAUGGAUCUCAAAGCAUUUUACCAAGGAAGUCAGAAUCAGAUGGAGGCACAGAACGGGGAAAUUAUUUGCCCACAGUCAGUCAGAAGGCCAGUGGCAGAGCGAGGAAUAAAACCAUUUCCUCAGUCCCA